UACGUAGGGGGCGAGCGUUGUCCGGAUUUAUUGGGCGUAAAGAGCGUGUAGGCGGUCAGGUAGGUCUGCUGUGAAAACUCGAGGCUCAACCUCGAGACGUCGGCGGAAACCAUCUGGCUAGAGUCCGGAAGAGGAGAGUGGAAUUCCUGGUGUAGAGGUGAAAUUCGUAGAUAUUCGGAAGAACACCAGUGGCGAAGGCGGCUCACUGGCCCGAUACUGACGCUGAGGUGCGAAAGCGUGGGGAGCAAACAGG
rnacentral:rRNA from 1 species